GGGGCUGAUUCUGGAUUCGACGGGAUUCGCGAAACCCAAGGUGCAUGCCGAGGUGCGGUGGCCUCGUAAAAAACCGCAAAAAAAAAUAGUUGCAAACGACGAAAACUACGCACUAGCAGCUUAAUAACCUGCUUAGAGCCCUCUCUCCCUAGCCUCCGCUCUUAGGACGGGGAUCAAGAGAGGUCAAACCUAAAAGAGCUCGUGUGGAAACCUUGCCUGGGGUGGAAGCAUUAAAACUAAUCAGGAUAGUUUGUCAGUAGCGUGUCCAUCCGCAGCUGGCCGGCGAAUGUAAUGAUUGGACUAAGCAUGUAGUGCCGACGGUGUAGUAAUUUCGGACGGGGGUUCAAAUCCCCCCAGCUCCACCA
rnacentral:tmRNA from 1 species